AUUGAACGCUGGCGGCAUGCUUUACACAUGCAAGUCGAACGGUAACAGGGUGCUUGCACCGCUGACGAGUGGCGAACGGGUGAGUAAUGCGUCGGAACGUGCCGAGUAGUGGGGGAUAACGCAUCGAAAGGUGUGCUAAUACCGCAUACGUACUGAGGUAGAAAGUGGGGGACCUUCGGGCCUCACGCUAUUCGAGCGGCCGACGUCUGAUUAGCUAGUUGGUGAGGUAAAGGCUCACCAAGGCGACGAGCAGUAGCGGGUCUGAGAGGAUGAUCCGCCACACUGGGACUGAGACACGGCCCAGACUCCUACGGGAGGCAGCAGUGGGGAAUUUUGGACAAUGGGCGCAAGCCUGAUCCAGCCAUGCAGCGUGUGUGAAGAAGGCCUUAUGGUUGUAAAGCACUUUAAGCGAGGAGGAGGCUACUGAGACUAAUACUCUUGGAUAGUGGACGUUACUCGCAGAAUAAGCACCGGCUAACUCUGUGCCAGCCGCCGCGGUAAGAC
rnacentral:rRNA from 1 species